rnacentral:rRNA from 1 species
AAACCAACAGGGAUUGCCCUAGUAACGGCGAGUGAAGCGGCAACAGCUCAAAUUUGAAAUCUGGCCCUCGGGUCCGAGUUGUAAUUUGUAGAGGAUGCUUUUGGCGCGGUGCCUUCCGAGUUCUCUGGAACGAGACGCCUUAGAGGGUGAGAGCCCCGUACGGUUGGACACCAAGCCUCUGUAAAGCUCCUUCGACGAGUCGAGUAGUUUGGGAAUGCUGCUCUAAAUGGGAGGUAAAUUUCUUCUAAAGCUAAAUAUUGGCCAGAGACCGAUAGCGCACAAGUAGAGUGAUCGAAAGAUGAAAAGCACUUUGAAAAGAGGGUUAAAUAGCACGUGAAAUUGUUGAAAGGGAAGCGUUUGCGACCAGACCUUUUCCUAGCGGAUCAUCCGGUGUUCUCACCGGUGCACUUCGCUAGGUUUAGGCCAGCAUCGGUUUCCGUAGGGGGAUAAAAGCUCUGGGAACGUAGCUCCUCCGGGAGUGUUAUAGCCCUCUGCAUAAUACCUUUACGGGGACCGAGGACCGCGCUUUUAGCAAGGAUGCUGGCGUAAUGGUCGUCAACGAC